CCCCCCAUUGUUUUUGUUCUUCCAAAAUCGAUCGCGCAAAAAAGCGAAAACAUCAAAAUAGAAUAGAAACAAGAUAAAGUAUUUCUUGUUUUGGAAGGGGAGGAAUAGAAGAGUGUCGCAACACAUCACGUUAUUGGGACAAUUCGUCGCCCACGGGAAACUGCAUCAGAUGGCGCUGAGGGCAUGAAAGAUGCAACACAACCGAAAGGCCAGCCAAAAAAUAAAAAAAUGAUGUGAUUUACGGGAACUGGUUCGGGCUUGUCGCAGCUCGGCAAAUGUAUUCGAUUGAGGCGGGAUUAUAUCCAGCGCAUCUGACUUUUCAAAAAAAUAAAUAAAUAAAAAUUUGAAAGUGUUUUACAAAUACACAAGCCUAUCCUUCCUCUCUA